CCUACGGGGUGCAGCAGUGGGGAAUAUUGCGCAAUGGGCGAAAGCCUGACGCAGCGACGCCGCGUGAGGGAUGAAGGUCUUCGGAUCGUAAACCUCUGUCAGCAGGGCAGAACGGUCACUGUGCUAAUCAGCAGUGCAUUGACGGUACCUGCAAAGGAAGCACCGGCGAACUACGUGCCAGCAGCCGCGGUAAUACGGAGGGUGCGAGCGUUAAUCGGAAUUACUGGGCGUAAAGCGCUCGUAGGCGGUAUGUCCAGUCAAGGGUGAAAUCCCCGCGCUCAACGUGGGAACUGCCUUUGAUAGUGGAAAACUGGAGUGUGUGAGAGGAUAGUGGAAUGCCAGGUGUAGGAGUGAAAGCCGUAGAGAUCUGGAGGAACAUCAGUGGCGAAGGCGACUAUCUGGCACAUAACUGACGCUGAGGAGCGAAAGCGUGGGUAGCAAACAGGAUUAGAUACCCGAGUAGUC
rnacentral:rRNA from 1 species